GCCAUGUGUUCCCAUGAUUCUUGUUGUUACAUGUGUGUCUUCCCCUUCAGGUCCAUCCUUAGCCAGACCGAAAUCCGACAGUUUCGCCGUAAAAUCCUAUAUUUGGAGAUGUAACAUAACAUAAGAUGAUCCUUAAGAAGGUUUAUCUGCUCCAUGAAGGAAGGCCAAUCCCUUUGCUGCUCCUAAUGCAAUUUUCAUCCUUGUUGACCAUGGCAUGGCAGCAGAGUACCCUGCUUUUUUAAUCACAGGCCUUAAUACUUUCUUUAUGAGUCAUCGAGUCUGGUGGUGGUGGCGGUGGUGGUAGUAAUAGGAGGCAAUUUUGUUGGUCAUUGUUGUUAAAGAGGAGAAGGUUGGAAGAAUAUGGAAUGUAGAGUAAGAUGAUGGUUAAGAUCAAUUGAGGGGUGAUGCUGCUUUUAGAUCCAUUAUUGCAUUGAUUGGAAUAAGGAUGCAUUUGAUUUUCUUUUAUUAAUUAUUAGUUUAUUUUCAAGGUUCGAUUUUCCUUUCCUUGACAUUGUUUCUUGCUUAUAAAGGUGGUGUGUAACACCCUACCACACUGAGCUUUAUGCUUAAGCUGUAAAAUAGAGGUGGUGUGGUAUUACGUA